UACGUAGGGUGCAAGCGUUAAUCGGAAUUACUGGGCGUAAAGCGUGCGCAGGCGGUUUUGUAAGCCAGACGUGAAAUCCCCGGGCUUAACCUGGGGACUGCGUUUGGGACUGCAAGGCUAGAGUGCGGCAGAGGAAGGUGGAAUUCCUGGUGUAGCAGUGAAAUGCGUAGAUAUCAGGAGGAACACCGAUGGCGAAGGCAGCCUUCUGGGCUAGCACUGACGCUCAUGCACGAAAGCGUGGGGAGCAAACAGG
rnacentral:rRNA from 1 species